CCUACGGGUGGCAGCAGUGGGGAAUAUUGGACAAUGGGGGGAACCCUGAUCCAGUCAUGCCGCGUGUGUGAAGAAGGCCCUCGGGUUGUAAAGCACUUUCAGUGAGGAAGAACGCCUGGUGGUUAAUACCCAUCAGGAAAGACAUCACUCACAGAAGAAGCACCGGCUAACUCCGUGCCAGCAGCCGCGGUAAUACGGAGGGUGCGAGCGUUAAUCGGAAUUACUGGGCGUAAAGCGCGCGUAGGUGGCUUGAUAAGCCGGUUGUGAAAGCCCCGGGCUCAACCUGGGAACGGCAUCCGGAACUGUCAAGCUAGAGUGCAGGAGAGGAAGGUAGAAUUCCCGGUGUAGCGGUGAAAUGCGUAGAGAUCGGGAGGAAUACCAGUGGCGAAGGCGGCCUUCUGGACUGACACUGACACUGAGGUGCGAAAGCGUGGGUAGCAAACAGGAUUAGAUACCCUGGUAGUC
rnacentral:rRNA from 1 species